GUCCCUCUGAGUAUCCCUUUAUAAACUGACUAAGUUCAAUAUCAACCUCAGACCAAUUUAAGCAAUCUAUGGCCUUCACUACUCUGUUCUCAUCUUUCAUUUUCUCAUCUGAUGUUUCCCGAAUCCCUCUCCAUAUGACCAUUGGAUCCCAGCUUGAGAUGGAUGAGCUAUCAAAUAUCUGCUUCACAAUAACAGGCUCACCCUUAA
rnacentral:misc_RNA from 1 species